rnacentral:rRNA from 1 species
UACGUAGGAGGCAAGCGUUGUCCGGAGUUACUGGGCGUAAAGCGCACGCAGGCGGUCUUGUCAGUCUGUAGGGACAGGGCACAGCUCAACUGUGUCAGGCUUACGGAAACUGCAAGACUUGAGGGCUUCAGAGGGAUGGGGAAUUCCGGGUGGAGUGGUGAAAUGCGUAGAGAUCGGGAAGAACAUCGGUGGCGAAAGCGCUCUACUGGACCGCAACUGACACUCAGGGACGAAAGCUAGGGAGCGAAUGGG